rnacentral:rRNA from 1 species
AGCGUACACGGUGGAUGCCCUGGCAGUCAGAGGCGAUGAAGGGCGUGCUAAUCUGCGAUAAGCGCCGGUAAGGUGAUAUGAACCGUUAUAACCGGCGAUACCCGAAUGGGGAAACCCAGUGUGAUUCGUCACACUAUCAUUAACUGAAUCCAUAGGUUAAUGAGGCGAACCGGGGGAACUGAAACAUCUAAGUACCCCGAGGAAAAGAAAUCAACCGAGAUUCCCCCAGUAGCGGCGAGCGAACGGGGAGGAGCCCAGAGCCUGAAUCAGCAUGUGUGUUAGUGGAAGCGUCUGGAAAGGCGCGCGAUACAGGGUGACAGCCCCGUACACAAAAGCGCAUGUGCUGUGAGCUCGAUGAGUAGGGCGGGACACGUGGUAUCCUGUCUGAAUAUGGGGGGACCAUCCUCCAAGGCUAAAUACUCCUGACUGACCGAUAGUGAACCAGUACCGUGAGGGAAAGGCGAAAAGAACCCCGGCGAGGGGAGUGAAAAAGAACCUGAAACCGUGUACGUACAAGCAGUGGGAGCCCCACCACCAAAGCAUUCUCUGGUGUUGAAGGCCCUGCAAAGCAGCAUCGCGGUGGCGGAGCGUCGUUUGCGACGCCCAACACACAAAACAAGCGGUGAGUGCUUUGGGGUGGGGUGACUGCGUACCUUUUGUAUAAUGGGUCAGCGACUUAUAUUCUGUAGCAAGGUUAACCGAAUAGGGGAGCCGGAGGGAAACCGAGUCUUAAUUGGGCGUUAAGUUGCAGGGUAUAGACCCGAAACCCGGUGAUCUAGCCAUGGGCAGGUUGAAGGUUGGGUAACACUAACUGGAGGACCGAACCGACUAAUGUUGAAAAAUUAGCGGAUGACCUGUGGCUGGGGGUGAAAGGCCAAUCAAACCGGGAGAUAGCUGGUUCUCCCCGAAAGCUAUUUAGGUAGCGCCUCGUGAAUUCAUCUCCGGGGGUAGAGCACUGUUUCGGCUAGGGGGCCAUCCCGGCUUACCAACCCGAUGCAAACUGCGAAUACCGGAGAAUGUUAUCACGGGAGACACACGGCGGGUGCUAACGUCCGUCGUGAAGAGGGAAACAACCCAGACCGCCAGCUAAGGUCCCAAAGUCAUGGUUAAGUGGGAAACGAUGUGGGAAGGCCCAGACAGCCAGGAUGUUGGCUUAGAAGCAGCCAUCAUUUAAAGAAAGCGUAAUAGCUCACUGGUCGAGUCGGCCUGCGCGGAAGAUGUAACGGGGCUAAACCAUGCACCGAAGCUGCGGCAGCGAACGUAUCACUUAAAGCGAUUCAGCGGGUUACGAUUGACGGAGCGAAGCGACGUCAAAGCGUAUACAAAGUCGAGUCGGUUUAAGGAUACGUUCGUUGGGUAGGGGAGCGUUCUGUAAGCCUGUGAAGGUGGCCUGUGAGGGUUGCUGGAGGUAUCAGAAGUGCGAAUGCUGACAUAAGUAACGAUAAAGCGGGUGAAAAGCCCGCUCGCCGGAAGACCAAGGGUUCCUGUCCAACGUUAAUCGGGGCAGGGUGAGUCGACCCCUAAGGCGAGGCCGAAAGGCGUAGUCGAUGGGAAACGGGUUAAUAUUCCCGUACUUGGUGUUACUGCGAAGGGGGGACGGAGAAGGCUAUGUUGGCCGGGCGACGGUUGUCCCGGUUUAAGCGUGUAGGUGUGUGUUCCAGGUAAAUCCGGUUCACUUUAACACUGAGGCGUGACGACGAGGCACUACGGUGCUGAAGCAACAAAUGCCCUGCUUCCAGGAAAAGCCUCUAAGCAUCAGGUAACACGAAAUCGUACCCCAAACCGACACAGGUGGUCAGGUAGAGAAUACCAAGGCGCUUGAGAGAACUCGGGUGAAGGAACUAGGCAAAAUGGUGCCGUAACUUCGGGAGAAGGCACGCUGACACGUAGGUGAAGUGAUUUACUCAUGGAGCUGAAGUCAGUCGAAGAUACCAGCUGGCUGCAACUGUUUAUUAAAAACACAGCACUGUGCAAACACGAAAGUGGACGUAUACGGUGUGACGCCUGCCCGGUGCCGGAAGGUUAAUUGAUGGGGUCAGCGCAAGCGAAGCUCCUGAUCGAAGCCCCGGUAAACGGCGGCCGUAACUAUAACGGUCCUAAGGUAGCGAAAUUCCUUGUCGGGUAAGUUCCGACCUGCACGAAUGGCGUAAUGAUGGCCAGGCUGUCUCCACCCGAGACUCAGUGAAAUUGAACUCGCUGUGAAGAUGCAGUGUACCCGCGGCAAGACGGAAAGACCCCGUGAACCUUUACUAUAGCUUGACACUGAACAUUGAGCCUUGAUGUGUAGGAUAGGUGGGAGGCUUUGAAGCGUGGACGCCAGUCUGCGUGGAGCCGACCUUGAAAUACCACCCUUUAAUGUUUGAUGUUCUAACGUGGACCCGUAAUCCGGGUUGCGGACAGUGUCUGGUGGGUAGUUUGACUGGGGCGGUCUCCUCCUAAAGAGUAACGGAGGAGCACGAAGGUUGGCUAAUCCUGGUCGGACAUCAGGAGGUUAGUGCAAUGGCAUAAGCCAGCUUGACUGCGAGCGUGACGGCGCGAGCAGGUGCGAAAGCAGGUCAUAGUGAUCCGGUGGUUCUGAAUGGAAGGGCCAUCGCUCAACGGAUAAAAGGUACUCCGGGGAUAACAGGCUGAUACCGCCCAAGAGUUCAUAUCGACGGCGGUGUUUGGCACCUCGAUGUCGGCUCAUCACAUCCUGGGGCUGAAGUAGGUCCCAAGGGUAUGGCUGUUCGCCAUUUAAAGUGGUACGCGAGCUGGGUUUAGAACGUCGUGAGACAGUUCGGUCCCUAUCUGCCGUGGGCGCUGGAGAACUGAGGGGGGCUGCUCCUAGUACGAGAGGACCGGAGUGGACGCAUCACUGGUGUUCGGGUUGUCAUGCCAAUGGCACUGCCCGGUAGCUAAAUGCGGAAGAGAUAAGUGCUGAAAGCAUCUAAGCACGAAACUUGCCCCGAGAUGAGUUCU